rfam:Aedes albopictus isolate Foshan contig48402, whole genome shotgun sequence.
CUCCUGUUAGCCUAGUGGUUAAGGCUAUAGAUCGCCAAUCCGAAGACGGCGGGUUCGAUUCCCGUUCUGGGCA